GUUUUAAUAGUUUAACAUAAAACCUUGGUCUUGUAAACCAUUAAUAGAUUAUUUUCUUUAAAACU
rnacentral:tRNA from 1 species